GGUGUCUAGAGAGAGAAACGAGAAGAAGAAGAGGGUCUUCUUCUAGGGUUGUUUGUUUUCAUAUCUUUCCUCCCUCCAUCUUGAGUUUUCUGAGAGCGUCUCAGAUCUGAAACUCCUCCUUUUACUUUUCAUCUUUGGAAGAGUCCAAAUCAAGAAGAAGGAGGCACCUGAUCAACUAUCAAAAAAGGAUCAGCAUAGUACUAGCAUACUGUGCUGAUUUCCUGAAGCAGGACUUCUGAUCGAGAUUCGUGGGCUUGUGUGGAUGACUCUUAGAGGCCGGACGCAUGUGCGGCUUGCAACAUCAUCCUCAAGUCCGGAUCAACGAGGUUAGAACAUCUAACUUGCAAGGUAAUAAAUCUGAUCUAUUGUUUAAUGCAUACAUUUGAUGUAGUAUAGAAACAUGUUGAUAUGAUCAACAUGUAGUUCAUGCUAUAUUUAUAUAUUUUAAUUUUUGAUUUAAUGCUAUGUAAUAAUCAUGUAAUAGGAUCUUAGAUCUAGAGAUUCUCUGAUUUUAAAAAAUAAUUUUGAUUUAUUUUAGUCUUCCGCUGUAUGAUCUUGAAAAAGUUUCAAGAUCUAAUCCUGAAACCCUAGAUCUGGUUCCUACAGGCAAUUGAUCAUGGGACAUCCAAGAGAGAGGUCUCCUUUUAUAGACUAGGAAUUAGGACUUUCUAAGAAAGGAUGCCAUGAAUCAACACCCAAAAUCCUUUUUGGCAUCCCCAAAAAUUUCAAAAAAAUUAUUAGGAUGUGGAGAAGAAAUCUAAAGUCUGACAUGCCAAAGUAUUUUUCAAAAAAAAUAAGAAAAAAAAUAAUAUG
rnacentral:lncRNA from 1 species